GACGAACGCUGGAGGCGUGCUUAACACAUGCAAGUCGAACGAAGUGGCGAACGGGUGAGUAACGCGUAAUCAACCUGCCCUUCAGAGGGGGACAACAGUUGGAAACGACUGCUAAUAUCGCAUACUGAAGGAGGGGAUUGCGUCGGAUUAGCUAGUUGGAGGGGUAACGGCCAACGAAGGCGAUGAUCAGUAGCCGGUCUGAGAGGAUGACCGGCCACAUUGGGACUGAAACACGUCCCAGACUCCUACGGUAGGCAGCAGUGGGGAAUCUUCCGCAAUGGACGAAAGUCUGACGGAGCAACGCCGCGUGAGUGAUGACGGCCUUCGGGUUGUAAAGCUCUGUUAAUCGGGACGCGGUACCGGAAUAGAAAGCCACGGCUAACUACGUGCCAGCAGCCGCGGUAAUAC
rnacentral:rRNA from 1 species